rnacentral:tRNA from 1 species
GGGGGCGUAGCUCAGUGGCAGAGCUGGUGGCUUUUAACCUCCGAGUCGAGAGUUCGAUCCUCUCCGCCCCCACAA